GCCCGAUAACAUAUCCAUUUCUACUGGGGUCGGUUUGUAUGCUGAUGAUACCAAACUGCACAGAUGUGUGCAAAAUCGUAACGAUGCACUGGCAUUGCAAUCGGAUAUUCAAAGCCUCCAUUGUUGGUCAAAUGAGAACAUGUUAAGCUUUAACAAAUCGAAGUGUAAAGUGUUGUCUAUCACAAGAAGGAAGUCUCCCUUAAUUUACCCAUAUGCACUUGGCGAUCACCAACUAUUGUCUUCUGAUGUAGAGUCCGAUCUGGGCAUUACGAUCAGUUCGAAACUAUUAUGGAAUGUUCAGAUCAACAAAGUUCGGUCAAAAGCCAACAAAACGCUCGGGUUAAUCCGACGUUUUACCAUGGAGAUAACGGAUACCAACGCGAGAAGGCUUCUGUACCUUCAACUUGUGCGAAGUAACUUCUCCUAUGCAACCCAAGCCUGGUGUCCUCAGUCAGUGAAACUUAUUGAGGACGUUGAGAAAGUGCAGAGACGAGCAACUAAAUACAUAUUGAAUCUUGGGUUUAUCACAGACAUUUCUUACAAGACAAGACUCCUUCAGCUUGACAUAUUACCUGUCUCAUAUUGGCACGAAUACUUGGAUCUGGUGUUCCUCUACAAGAUCAUCAACAGUCUUACGUACAUUGACGAACGUGUUCUACCGAUCAUGGCUGGAUCAGGAAUUACAAGAAGUGAAUCCAACGCAAACCUAAUUAGAUUUGUUAUUCCUUAUGCGAAAACCGUAACAUUCCAGACCUCAUUUUUUAUAAGAACUUGCAAAACGUGGAACAUAUUAGAUAGUAACUUGCGUACUAGAGAUAUAGGUUUGCUGUCUUUUAAAUCAGGUCUUAAACUCUACUACAAACAUGCACUAUCCAAAACAUUCAAAUGUGACGAUCCGCGCACCUGGAAAUCAGUGUGUGUAAAGUGCAAAAGAGCAAGAUCGCUUAACAAUGAAAUAAGCUGUUGUUAGCCUUAUUAGUUUUAGCUUGUUGAGUUGCUUGAAAAUUUGUUUUGUACAGUAAUUUUAUUCUUGUUUAUAUGGGAUCGCCGUAAUUGGGGAAACCUGUGGCGAAUUCCCUGGCUCUAUAUGUUGUAUUUAAAUAGCAGCCGAAUCUUAUUAAAU